rnacentral:rRNA from 1 species
UACUUGUACUCAACCAGAAUAGGGACGAAUACUUAAGAGACACAGGAAGUCACUAAGUACAACACGCACGACUGACUAUCUACCUACGGGAAAAUACGUUUAAACGGUACUAAAGAACUAAUGUACCCUAAUCAUCUUUCCUCUACUAUGGGUACCGGAAAAAACGUGGUUACGUUUGUCGGGAGUAGUUAGUAAUCAAAAACAACGUCUAAAAGUACGAUUUAAAAGAAUAUAAAGAGAGAAAAGCUAAAUUGUUAGAGGCAAAACAAAAUAAAACACCGACGAAUAGGUAAACACAACGACGAGAGGAGACCAAACAGCGGUACUUGUACGGUAACCAUAAAGACGUGGAAUGGAUUUGUUCCAGUGGGGUAUUAAAGAGGUCCCAGGUCGUAGUUUCCGAAGAAGAGAAGAAGGACGUGAUGGGUACAGUUCGAGGCACCGCAACCUAUUUUCUCAUUCUACUGCUGGAACGAACGUUGGAUGGAACCAAACCCGGGAACACUAGACCAGGUACAUCGAUCGAAACUCCACCUACUUGUACAUAACAUAACGUAGAAGUUAUUUUGACACUGUGUAAGUUGAAUUAAUAACGUUUUGUAGUCAAUCACGAGAGGACGUUAAAUAAACCUAUUAGAUUUUCGUGUAGUGAAUAGAAGAGUUGAUCACGACAUCAAACCAACGACACUCUAAGUUAAGUUACCAGAACAUGUAUAGUGCAGACCCAUUUGUUAACGGAGGACAGAUGAUCAAAGAUUACGGACCUCAUUAGACACCGACUAAACAUGGCCAAGAUAUAUAAAUCAUUAACGACAGUAACCAACGUCUUAGGACUUAGAUAAGAACAACAUGACUCUCUCGAAAGAGAAAUAAAAAAGAACACUGGCUAAACCGGAGGAGGACGGAGGUGUGCACGUCACGUCCUUCCCAGAUAGAGGUGUAGUGUUCAGACUACCCAGGAACCACCAAAAGAGUCAAACUGGGACGACGACUCCUACGUGUCCGACGAGGAGCAAGUAAGCUCCACGCACGACGUAUACUAACUACUGGAAAGGGAAUAGACCACCUACUUGGUAGACCUAAAACGUAAGUAAAAGUCGACGCUACGAAAAGACGACAUUUGAUUUAGGGUGAAAAGUAAGUACUUAAAACACGGUUAGUUGAUGAUUUUUGGGUCACGGUGACCGAACAUCUUGUUUUUUUGCUUUAAGUACUUACACUUGGUUGACGGGAAGGACGUCAUCGUAAUUAAAUCC